rnacentral:rRNA from 1 species
GACGAACGCUGGCGGCGUGCUUAACACAUGCAAGUCGAACGGAAAGGCCCUGCUUUUGUGGGGUGCUCGAGUGGCGAACGGGUGAGUAACACGUGAGUAACCUGCCCUUGACUUUGGGAUAACUUCAGGAAACUGGGGCUAAUACCGGAUAGGAGCUCCUGCUGCAUGGUGGGGGUUGGAAAGUUUCGGCGGUUGGGGAUGGACUCGCGGCUUAUCAGCUUGUUGGUGGGGUAGUGGCUUACCAAGGCUUUGACGGGUAGCCGGCCUGAGAGGGUGACCGGCCACAUUGGGACUGAGAGACGGCCCAGACUCCUACGGGAGGCAGUAGGGGGGAAUAUGGCACAAUGGGCGGAAGCCUGAUGCAGCAACGCCGCGUGCGGGAUGACGGCCUUCGGGUUGUAAACCGCUUUCGCCUGUGACGAAGCGUGAGUGACGGUAAUGGGUAAAGAAGCACCGGCUAACUACGUG